UCUAAUUUUCUUUUACAUUUGGUUGGGUUAGUUCUGAAGUUACUACCACUUGUAAAUGCUUGUCAAGUUAAAUAUUGUCAGUUGUUCAGAAAAAGUAAAUUGUCGCUGUUUUUCAUUGUGAAUCCUAAAAUUGCUCUUUCCUUGGCCAUACUUUUUCAAUAUUAUAACUAUUUUGACUGUUGAGUAGUCAAGUGUCUUUUAAAGCUUUAAACCACCAAAGAAUAACCAAAAAAUACGAUUAGUUCCUCUUAACGGCACCUUUCAUUGUCUUGUUUCCUAAUGGCACCUUUUAUUGUCUUGUUGUAGUGCACGAACUGAAGAUCACGAAGAUUCUUGUACGACAUGCGGAGGCAGUUAAUAGCAGACUUUUCGUGGUAAGUUGUUUGGGUGUUGUGCUUGGUGUGUGAGGAUGGGCAUAAAAAUUAGUCUUCUGAUCUAUCUUGUGUGCUUGUCAUUUCUCUUUUUGCAGCCCAUUCUAGGACAUCUUUGUAAUCAUCUUAGAGUGCACAAGAGAUAACCAGUAUUUGUUGCAUCAUUUGUGCUGCCACUAAUACAGAAUUGACAUGGAGGGUGGCAUUUCUGAGAACGAAAAGAGAGUUGCAGUGUAAAACCUGGGAAUGUAAAAUAGGGAUGCCCAACAAUUUGAUUCUAUUGCUUUUUUAGAUUGAGGAACACCACCUCCUAUUAGUACACUAGAAGAGGAGUCAGCGUAGCACGAACUUUAUGUUGUCAAAAUCAUGUAAUACUUGUAGCACUAGUGAUGGUCUGUUUGGGGGGAUAAAUCAUGCGGAUAAACAGAAACUACAAAAACUUUUCCCAUUGUUGUUGGAUUUAGACGUAUAAGAUGCUAGAAAAUGAUGAUUUGACGGGAGGAUAAGUAUCUCUCGGCUCCUUUGAGUUAUUUGGAUUAACAUUUUAUAAAAUUUUCCAUUGAUCAUUAGAAAAUAGAAACAAGCAGGUAUGCUUAGUCAAGAGUCCGUAAGAAAUUCUAGGUAUGUGGUUGUUGGACAAUACCAUGCAAUGCAAUGCUUAGUCCUGCCGCUGUUUUGCAUUGUGUGUCCUAAAUUGUUGUUUUCUUGGGCAUACUUUUUGAAUAUUAACUCUUUUGAGUGUUGAGCAAUCAAGGACUUGUCUUUUAAAGCUUAAACCACUGAAGGAUAUGAUUAAUUUAACGGCACCUUUUGUUGACUUAUUGUAGUCAAGGAACUGAAGAAGAAGAAGAUUCUUGUACGAGAUGCGGAGACAGUUACUAGCUCAUACCAUACAUUUCAUGUGUUGCGAUCUUUUGUGGUAAGUUGUUCGGGUGUCAUGUUAUAAAUACAUGACCUCUUUGUGCUUGGCGUGUGAGGAUGGGCAUAAAAAUUAGUCUUUGGAUCUUGUAUACUUCUCAUUUCUCUUUUUGCAGCAAAUUCUAGUACAUCUUUGUAAGCAUCAUGCUGUUUGUACAAUAAUAGGACUAUGUUGUUGAGUUGCAGUUGCUAAGACCAACCUAAUCCAUCUGAUGACAGCCUAAUCCAUCUGAUGAUUUGAAAUCUAAAGAGAAAAAUGAAGAGAGAAGAUGCAACAUUAAAGCUGACAAAAUCAGUGAUUUAAAUGUAACCAAACAGGAAUUGAAGCUUUUCAUGGAAAUGUAUUGGCACCAAAUGGUGGAUUCAAGGUUAGCAU